UAUCCAGACAGUGAAUAACGGCCAACGCGUGUGUCUGGCAAGUAGGGGGUAUAUGCACUUAUAUUCAUGUAUAGCGUUUGCCGUACAGCGCCCAAUUGCUCUAUAAGCUUUGCAAAAACCCAACCUCCAUAUCCCGUGCUGCAUAUGAGCGCUCUUUCGUAUGGCGUGUGGAUUCUCCAAGUCCACUACGUGCCCCUUUCCUUUCUUUAUCUGGCGACGUACCUCCGCCUCUCACUCGUCCAGUUGGGCUCGUCGACACAUACACAGACACGGUGACGCAGCAGGGGUGUGGUGGGUUCCAUCACUGCCGGACGUACGUAUAUAUGUACGUAUGUGUGCCCCUUCCACCCUCUCCACGAGCCAAUGGAGUAUUGUUGUACGAGCCCCAUAUGACCACAGGCAUGGCAUUUUGUUCCUGCCCGCGCGGGCAUUCGUUUUCCUGCGAGACCGGAUGGCUGUCUGUACGUGCUGGAAACCGACGUACAUACAUACAUAUAUGUGGACUACAGUGGGAAGUGUUCGUGCAUGCUAGUGCCCCCUCUUCCUCCGCCCUCUUGACAAACUCGUCCUCCGUUAAUCGAUAUACUUCUUUUGUGUCCCCGCCAGUUCCUCCUUGCGGGGGGGUGGCCUCCAGGACACUCCAAAAGACGUCGGUGAUUUGCUGAGGGGGGGCAGCACUCUCACAGCAGUGCAUGCGCCGCGAAGUAUAUGGGGAUGUGUACAGGUGCGGGUGGCAAUGGCGACUUGGUACUUGGGCUCUGUGGUGGCCCCUACUGCGAGGCCCCCAGGAUUGGAGACUCUGUAAUCAGCCCAUUUUCAUAUCACAUCACACACAACCCCACCCAUAUCUUAUCUAUAAGCAAGCACAGCGAGUGCGUUGUAACUUUGUAUUGCCUUUUUAGGCGUUGCAUACUGCGUACGAGCCUCACCGAUAGCUAGGCUGGACCUACUGUUGCUGUACCCACCACCGCUGCUUGACGCCAGCUGAGCAUCCGCCGGGGCCCUGGUGACAGCGCUGAUGGGCGUUGCUACUACUCGGCAGGGGCUACGAG
rnacentral:lncRNA from 1 species